ACUGCUCAGUAACACGUGAGUGACCUGUCCAGUUGUGGGGGAUAGCCCCUCGAAAGAGUGGCUAAUACCGCAUAUGGUCGCUGGUUCGGUCCGGCGACUAAAGCCGCAAGGCGCUACAGGAUGGGCUUGCGUCCGAUUAGCUAGUUGGUGGGGUAACGGCCUACCAAGGCGAUGAUCGGUAGCUGGUCUGAGAGGAUGAUCAGCCAGACUGGGACUGCGACACGGCCCAGACUCCUACGGGAGGCAGCAGUUAGGGAUUUUGCGCAAUGGCCGAAAGGCUGACGCAGCAACGCCGCGUGGGGGAUGAAGGUCUUCGGAUCGUAAACCCCUUUUGCACGGGAAGAUAAUGACGGUACCGUGCGAAUAAGCCCCGGUUAACUACGUGCCAGCAGCCGCGGUAAUACGUAGGGGGCGAGCGUUGUCCGGAUUUACUGGGCGUAAAGAGCGCGUAGGCGGCCAGCCAAGUCGUGCGUGAAAUACCUCGGCUCAACCGGGGGGAGUAGUGCGAUACUGGAGGGCUCGAGGCCGGAAGGGGGAAGCGGAAUUCCCGGUGUAGUGGUGGAAUGCGUAGAUAUCGGGAGGAACACCAGUGGCGAAGGCGGCUUCCUGGACCGGUCCUGACGCUGAGGCGCGAAAGCGUGGGGAGCGAACUGAAUUAGAUACUCAGGUAGUCCACGCUGUAAACGAUGGGUGCUAGGUGUCGGGGGUAUCGACCCCCCCGGUGCCGGAGCUAACGCAUUAAGCACCCCGCCUGGGGAGUACGGCCGCAAGGCUAAAACUCAAAGGAAUUGGCGGGGGAGCAC
rnacentral:rRNA from 1 species